rnacentral:rRNA from 1 species
CUYCKRKCGKSUGUURCUGGGCGUAAGCGCACGCAGGCGGUCUGUCAAGUCGGAUGUGAAAUCCCCGGGCUCAACCUGGGAACUGCAUUCGAAACUGGCAGGCUGGAGUCUUGUAGAGGGGGGUAGAAUUCCAGGUGUAGCGGUGAAAUGCGUAGAGAUCUGGAGGAAUACCGGUGGCGAAGGCGGCCCCCUGGACAAAGACUGACGCUCAGGUGCGAAAGCGUGGGGAGCAAACAGGAUUAGAUACCCUGGUAGUCCACGCUGUAAACGAUGUCGACUUGGAGGUUGUUCCCUUGAGGAGUGGCUUCCGGAGCUAACGCGUUAAGUCGACCGCCUGGGGAGUACGGCCGCAAGGUUAAAACUCAAAUGAAUUGACGGGGGCCCGCACAAGCGGUGGAGCAUGUGGUUUAAUUCGAUGCAACGCGAAGAACCUUACCUACUCUUGACAUCCASAGAAYUURGCAGAGAUGCYUURGUGCCUUCGGGAACYCUGAGACAGGUGCUGCAUGGCUGUCGUCAGCUCGUGUUGUGAAAUGUUGGGUUAARUCCCGCAACGAGCGCAACCCUUAUCCUUUGUUGCCASCSAWCCGGUCGGG